rnacentral:rRNA from 1 species
AUAACCCCGGGAAACUGGGGAUAAUGCCCCAUAGGUCACAGAUGCUUGGAAUGCCCUGUGGCUCAAAGGUCCGCCGCCUCAGGAUGAGUCUGCGGCCGAUUAGGUUGUUGUUGGGGUAAUGGCCCAACAAGCCUGUAAUCGGUACGGGUUGUGAGAGCAAGAGCCCGGAGAUGGAUUCUGAGACACGAAUCCAGGCCCUACGGGGUGCAGCAGGCGCGAAAACUUUACACUGCGGGAAACCGUGAUAAGGGAACCCCGAGUGCCCGUAAAUUCGGGCUGUUCACCAGUGCAAACAGCUGGUGGAGAAAGGGCCGGGCAAGACCGGUGCCAGCCGCCGCGGUAAUACCGGCGGCUCGAGUGGUGGCCACUAUUACUGGGCUUAAAGCGUCCGUAGCUGGGUUGUUAAGUCUCUGGGGAAAUCUUCCGGCUUAACCGGAAGGCGUCUCAGGGAUACUGGCAAUCUAGGGAUCGGAAGAGGUGAGGGGUACUCCAGGGGUAGGAGUGAAAUCCUGUAAUCCUUGAAGGACCACCAGUGGCGAAGGCGUCUCACCAGAACGGACCUGACGGCAAGGGACGAAAGCUAGGGGCACGAACCGGAUUAGAUACCCGGGUAGUCCUAGCCGUAAACGAUACUCGCUAGGUGUCGGCCACGGUGCGACCGUUGUCGGUGCCGUAGGGAAGCCGUGAAGCGAGCCACCUGGGAAGUACGCCGC